CGGGAUCCAGGGGAAUGUGACUGGGAAAACUCUUGGACUUGCAUCACGAUGGUGCCAUUUCACACCAGGGUUUGCUGACGGGCUGCAGUGGUGUUCACUUGCCCUGUGGGACAAGCACCCAUGUGACAGGGAGGGGU